ACUCCUGCGGGAGGCAGCAGUGGGGAAUAUUGCACAAUGGGCGCAAGCCUGAUGCAGCCAUGCCGCGUGUAUGAAGAAGGCCUUCGGGUUGUAAAGUACUUUCAGCGGGGAGGAAGGCGAUAAGGUUAAUAACCUUGUCGAUUGACGUUACCCGCAGAAGAAGCACCGGCUAACUCCGUGCCAGCAGCCGCGGUAAUACGGAGGGUGCAAGCGUUAAUCGGAAUUACUGGGCGUAAAGCGCACGCAGGCGGUCUGUCAAGUCGGAUGUGAAAUCCCCGGGCUCAACCUGGGAACUGCAUUCGAAACUGGCAGGCUAGAGUCUUGUAGAGGGGGGUAGAAUUCCAGGUGUAGCGGUGAAAUGCGUAGAGAUCUGGAGGAAUACCGGUGGCGAAGGCGGCCCCCUGGACAAAGACUGACGCUCAGGUGCGAAAGCGUGGGGAGCAAACAGGAUUAGAUACCCGGGUAGUCCC
rnacentral:rRNA from 1 species